rnacentral:rRNA from 1 species
CAUGGCUUCGGCCAUGGGGACAGCGGCGAACGGGUGAGUAACACGUGGGUAAUCUGCCCUCGACACUGGGAUAGCCCGGGGAAACCCGGAUUAAUACCGGAUAGCCUCUCGAGCUCUCGGGCUCGUGAGAAAAGAUGGCUUAGGCUUUCGGUUGAGGAGGAGCCUGCGGCGGAUUAGCUUGUUGGUGAGGUAACGGCCCACCAAGGCGACGAUCCGUAGCUGGUCUGAGAGGACGAUCAGCCACACUGGGACUGAGACACGGCCCAGACUCCUACGGGAGGCAGCAGUGGGGAAUCUUGCGCAAUGGGCGAAAGCCUGACGCAGCGACGCCGCGUGAGGGAAGAAGGCCUUCGGGUUGUAAACCUCUUUCAGGAGGGACGAAGCUACUCGGGUUAAUACCCCAGAGGGUGACGGUACCUCCAGAAGAAGCCCCGGCUAACUACGUGCCAGCAGCCGCGGUAAUACGUAGGGGGCAAGCGUUGUCCGGAAUCAUUGGGCGUAAAGAGCGUGUAGGCGGCCAGAUAAGUCCGCUGUGAAAACUCGAGGCUCAACUUCGAGCUGUCGGUGGAAACUAUCUGGCUAGAGUCCGGAAGAGGAGAGUGGAAUUCCUGGUGUAGCGGUGAAAUGCGCAGAUAUCAGGAAGAACACCCGUGGCGAAGGCGGCUCUCUGGGACGGUACUGACGCUGAGACGCGAAAGCGUGGGGAGCGAACAGGAUUAGAUACCCUGGUAGUCCACGCCGUAAACGAUGGGUGCUA